GAAAACUUCGCCAUGAAGUGGUUCUUGCUGUUGUCCUUUGUGGUGGCUGUGGUGGCAGAGGAAGCUGGCGAGCUGCCCUCAGCUGAGCCUUGUGAUGAGGAGGCGUGCAAGCUGCCGGAGUGUAGAUGCUCCUCCACCAACAUCCCUGGAGGAUUGGCUCCGAGGGACACUCCGCAGUUCGUCUCCGUGACGUUCGACGACGGCGUCAACGUCCUCAACAUGGAGACUUACCGAGACGUGAUCUUCAACCGUCGCAACUCCAACGGCUGUCCUGCCGGCACCACGUUCUACGUGAGCCACGAGUGGACCAACUACCAGCUCAUCAACGAGCUGUAUAACCGAGGGUACGAGAUCGCACUCCACUCCAUCUCACACCGCGUUCCGCAGAGCUGGUGGGCCACCGCCAGUCUCGAGGAGCUCAGGCAGGAGAUUGGCGAGCAGAAGGGUCAAAUCGCUCACUUCGCUAACAUCCCUGCAAAUCAAAUUAAAGGUGUCCGUCUCCCGUUCCUGCAGUUGAGUGGAAACACGAGUUUCCAAAUGAUGAAAGAGUUUGACUUGGUGUACGACCACUCCUGGCCCACUGCAUCACACAGAGAUCCCGGUCUCUGGCCAUACACUCUGCACCACGAAUCUAUCCAGGAAUGCUUCAUGCCACCUUGUCCCACCGCUUCCAUCCCUGGACCCUGGGUGCUGCCCAUGAUCACCUGGGCUGAUCCUAUGGGUUUCCCGUGCGCUAUGGUUGAUGCUUGCGCCAACUUCCCAAACCGCGAGGACGAGAACGCGUGGUUCGCCUUCAUAAUGCAGAACUUCGAGCGGCACUACUUCGGGAACCGCGCGCCCUUCGGCUUCUACGUGCACGAGGGCUACAUCAGGGGCUACCCGGCCGUGAAAAGGAGCUUUUGUACGGUUCCUCGACAUCAUCAACAAUGUUUAUGAUGUCUUCAUGGUGAACGCUGUAGAUAUUAUCGAGUGGGUGAAGAACCCCGUGCCAGUGAACGAUUACAGAUCAAGACCGUGCAAGACUGUGCCUCUCACUAUGUGCACGGCGAGGACCUGUGGACCUCUUGUUGGACCCCACAACGAGGUGAGCUACUUGAUUCCGACCUGCAAUGUCUGCCCUGCCAACUACCCCUGGGUGGGUAACCCAUUAGGACGUUAAUAUAACUAUUAAAAGCUUUCCAUAUG